rnacentral:rRNA from 1 species
AGAACGAACGCUGGCGGCAGGCCUCAAACAUGCAAGUCUAGGGGGUGUAGCAAUACAUCACCGGCGGACGGGUGCGUAACACGUGGGAAUAUACCUUUUGGUUCGGAACAACGCAGGGAAACUUGCGCUAAUACCGAAUGUGCCCUUACGGGGAAAGAUUUAUCGCCAAAAGGAUUAGCCCGCGUAGGAUUAGCUAGUUGGUGAGGUAAUGGCUCACCAAGGCUCCGAUCCUUAGCUGUUCUGAGAGGAAGAUCAGCCACACUGGGACUGAGACACGGCCCAGACUCCUACGGGAGGCAGCAGUUGGGAAUCUUGGACAAUGGGGGAAACCCUGAUCCAGCCAUGCCGCGUGAGUGAUGAAGGCCUUCGGGUUGUAAAACUCUUUCGACGGGGACGAUAAUGACGGUACCCGUAGAAGAAGCUCCGGCGUAACUUCGUGCCAGCAGCCGC